rnacentral:rRNA from 1 species
AUCCUGAGUACGACGGAGCACGUGAAAUUCCGUCGGAAUCUGGGAGGACCAUCUCCUAAGGCUAAAUACUCUCUAGUGACCGAUAGUGAACCAGUACCGUGAGGGAAAGGUGAAAAGCACCCCGGAAGGGGAGUGAAAUAGAACCUGAAACCGUGUGCUUACAAGUAGUCAGAGCCCGUUAAUGGGUGAUGGCGUGCCUUUUGUAGAAUGAACCGGCGAGUUACGAUUUGGUGCAAGGUUAAGCAGUAAAUGUGGAGCCGUAGCGAAAGCGAGUCUGAAUAGGGCGUUUAGUAUUUGGUC